UGAUGAUGAUGUCGAUGAUGAGGAUGGUGAUAAGCAUGAUGAGAAGUGAAUGUAUGCUUUCAAUCAUCAUCAUCACCAUCAUCAUCAGUAUAAAAC
rnacentral:pre_miRNA from 11 species